GCGGGGGUACCCAAGCGGUCAAGCGCAGGUAGGGCCAAAGGGGCUAGGUUUAGGGCCUAGUAGCUUAGUACCUCUUCCUUCGCUGGAAGUGGUGAGCACUGCUUUCCUGGGUUCGAAUCCCAGCCCCCGCA
rnacentral:tRNA from 1 species